rnacentral:rRNA from 1 species
CCUGGCUCAGGACGAACGCUGGCGGCGUGCUUAACACACGCAAGUCGAGGGCGGGGUGGGGCAACUCUUCCCGACCGGCGAACGGGUGCGUAACACGUGAGCGACCUGCCUUCCCGCGGGGGAUAGCCGGCCCAACGGCCGGGUAAUACCGCAUACGCUCGGUUGGGGGCAUAUCUGACCGAGGAAACUUCCGGGGCGGGGAGAGGGGCUCGCGGCCUAUCAGCUAGUUGGCGGGGUAACGGCCCACCAAGGCGGUGACGGGUAGCUGGUCUGAGAGGAUGGCCAGCCACAUUGGGACUGAGAGACGGCCCAGACUCCUACGGGAGGCAGCAGUGGGGAAUCUUGCGCAAUGGGAGCAAUCCUGACGCAGCGACGCCGCGUGGGGGAGGAAGGGCUUCGGCUCGUAAACCCCUGUUGCCCGGGGCGAACCUCGGCUUUCGAGCCGACUGACGGUACCGGGUGAGGAAGCACCGGCUAACUCCGUGCCAGCAGCCGCGGUAAUACGGAGGGUGCGAGCGUUGUCCGGAAUCACUGGGCGUAAAGGGCGCGUAGGCGGCAUGCCAAGCGUGUGGUGAAAGCCCGGGGCUCAACCCCGGGUCGGCCGUGCGGACUGGCGUGCUUGAGCACUGUAGGGGCGGG